rfam:Musa acuminata subsp. malaccensis Doubled-haploid Pahang (DH-Pahang) genomic chromosome, chr3
AUACCUUUCUCGGCCUUUUGGCUAAGAUCAAGUGUAGUAUCUGUUCUUAUCAGUUUAAUAUCUGAUACGUGGGUCAUCGAUCCACUAUGAUAUUAAAUUAAUUUAUUAUGGGAGAGGGCCCACCACGGUAGCUUGCUGCCGGGGCUCUCGCGCGUCGCCCAUGCGUUGCACUACCCCAUGGGCCCGGCGCACCCUAU